AUAAAAGCAAAAUAAUACUGAUGAUAAGUAGAAAAAUAACUUUAACUCCUGAAAUCCAAUCCUAACAAUCCCUUUCAUUGACCGCAUAGCUGUCAGCUGCUGUCAUCUCAAAGUUUUUUGUUAAUAUCCACGUACAAAAAAAAUCCUUGCUGCUUUUGCAGUUUAGCUAGCAAAGAUUCAGACAUCCGUGCCCGUUACACAUCAGUCAAGUUUUUGUACUUCUCUCUCAUGAUGGUGAUUCAAAUUAUAAUUAUCCUUAAACACCAAUAUCUGUUCUCCACAAACUAGGCACACAGCUUUACCUUUGACUUCAGUAAAUAAAUACUUGGAAGUCCAUACCUUUUUAAAAACACUGCAUUCUGCAUCUAUCUUUUUUUCUCUACACUAGCUGACAUCAGUCCAACAAGUUAGCCAAAACAUUCAAAUGAGGGUGCGUAUGGUCACACGAGAAACACCCUUAAUUUAGCAGUUCCUUAAAAAUAGAAGGAGUGCAUGUUGCGUCCGUGAAUCAGGCCAUUCCCAGCACCUCGUCAGCAAGCACUGGGACUGUAGGAAACUCCGCCCCUGCACGAGUGCGAGCACACUCUCGGCUACGAGGUACACCUGCUCGCAAUUAUCAGAGCAGUACUUAAGAAGAGCGUUGGUGGGUCCUUGUUGCCAAAUGAUCUCUCGAUGUCCAGCAAGUAUUCAGAUUAUCCUGUGGGACUGUACGUACCUCCACGGCAACUUGGCUACCCAGGCGCACCUCCCACACUGGUGUAGAGCAGGUGGGCUGCUGCCACACCUGCUGUGAACCACGACUUCUACUGCCAGCGGAUUCACACACCGACCAGCAGACACCUCAUCACCUCGCGACUCCCUGCACAACUCAUUCAUCAUAACCCAGUGGUUGCCUCUGCUCACCGCCAACCCCGAGUUGUUCAUCUAGCGGUCCAGUCAACACAACUCCCAGUCACCCAUGACCAGCUGAAACGUCCCCACCACAUCUUAAUAUUUUCUGUUACCACUUCUGAUUAAAUCAUUUUGAGCUUGAGUCUGUGUCCAAGUCCUGCAUUUACUGGGUCCUCAGUUGUUAAUCCUGAUGGCUAGCCGUAACAAUGCAGUUGUAAUGCAUGUAUUACUGUAAAAUAUUUACACCGACUUUUAAUUUACUGAUGACUUCAUGCGGGCUGUUCAGGGAGAGCCAGAGGGCCGGAUGUGGCCCGCGGGCCAUACAAUGCCCAGG